rnacentral:rRNA from 1 species
GACGAACGCUGGCGGCGUGCCUAAUACAUGCAAGUUGAGCGCUGAAGGUUGGUACUUGUCCCGACUGGCUGAGCAGCGAACGGGUGAGUAACGCGUGGGGAAUCUGCCUUUGAGCGGGGGACAACAUUUGGAAACGAAUGCUAAUACCGCAUAAAAACUUUAAACACAAGUUUUAAGUUUGAAAGAUGCAAUUGCAUCACUCAAAGAUGAUCCCGCGUUGUAUUAGCUAGUUGGUGAGGUAAAGGCUCACCAAGGCGAUGAUACAUAGCCGACCUGAGAGGGUGAUCGGCCACAUUGGGACUGAGACACGGCCCAAACUCCUACGGGAGGCAGCAGUAGGGAAUCUUCGGCAAUGGACGAAAGUCUGACCGAGCAACGCCGCGUGAGUGAAGAAGGGUUUCGGAUCGUAAAACUCUGUUGGUAGAGAAGAACGUUGGUGAGAGUGGAAAGCUCAUCAAGUGACGGUAACUACCCAGAAAGGGACGGCUAACUACGUG